rnacentral:lncRNA from 13 species
GAAAAUCCAAGCUCUAGAUGCCUCUGAGGUGCAGUCUGAAAGGAAAACACCUGCAUGCCGGGGGCACCAGGAGAUGUUCCAUUAUUUCUGCGAGGAUGAUUUGUGUGUCAUGAAUCCAAGGACCACAAAUCUCAUAAUGCCAGCUUGAUUGAUGAAGCUGCCCAGAAUUACCAGGGGCAGAGUCAAGCGCAGAUGGAAGUCUUACAGCCAAAGGAGGAGACGGUACAAGUGAAGGCACAGGCGAACAGAGCAUCCGUGACUUCAGGGUAAGAAAAACUCCAUCCCAUGAUCACCGGAAGCAGAAACAUCUCUGCAAAGCUCUUGGAAUCCCCUAUUACACUGAC